rnacentral:rRNA from 1 species
UACGAAGGGGGCUAGCGUUGUUCGGAAUCACUGGGCGUAAAGCGCACGCAGGCGGAUCGUUAAGUCAGGGGUGAAAUCCCGAGGCUCAACCUCGGAACUGCCUUUGAUACUGGCGAUCUUUGAGUCCGGGAGAGGUGAGUGGAACUCCGAGUGUAGAGGUGAAAUUCGUAGAUAUUCGGAAGAACACCAGUGGCGAAGGCGGCUCACUGGCCCGGUACCGACGCUCAUGUGCGAAAGCGUGGGGAGCAAACAGG